GAAAUGCGAUACGUAAUGUGAAUUGCAGGGCUCAGUGAAUCAUCGAAUCUUUGAACGCAUAAGGCGCUUGAGUAUUCGGGCUCAAGCACGUCUGAUGGAGCGGCAGCCCCAAUCAUCUCACAACCCUCAACCCACCGGGGGCGCGGGCUGUGGAGAGUGGGUGUCACCUCUGGCCUGCGUUAGCGCAGGCUGCGGCGUCUCCCGAAAUGCAGGGGGCGGCGGGGAAGACCGUUGCCGUAGCGUGCCAGCCGGACCUCGUGUCUGUAAGAGCCGCUGCCGCAGUGCCCCGACGAACUUCGCCCCGGCGAGACGCUCGGAUGAUGCAGCCUCACGGAAACGAGGGGUGGUCCUCUGAGCCUGGCUUUUGCCCACCAAUCAGGCGAGAUUACCCGCUGAAUUUCA
rnacentral:misc_RNA from 1 species